GAUGAACGCUGGCGGCGUGCCUAAUACAUGCAAGUCGAGCGAACAGACGCGGAGCUUGCUCCUCUGACGUUAGCGGCGGACGGGAGAGUAACACGUGGAUAACCUACCUAUAAGACUGGGAUAACUUCGGGAAACCGGAGCUAAUACCGGAUAAUAUAUUGAACCGCGGGGUUCGAUAGUGAAAGACGGUUGUUCUGUCACUUAUAGAUGGAUCCGCGCCGCAUUAGCUAGUUGGUAAGGUAACGGCUUACCAAGGCAACGAUGCGUAGCCGACCUGAGAGAGUGAUCGGCCACACUGGAACUGAGACACGGUCCAGACUCCUACGGGAGGCAGCAGUAGGGAAUCGUCCGCAGUGGGCGAAAGCCUGACGGAGCAACGCCGCGUGAGUGAUGAAGGUCUUCGGAUCGUAAAACUCUGUUAUGAGGGAAGAACAAAUGUGUAAGUAACUAUGCACGUCUUGACGGUACCUAAUCAGAAAGCCACGGCUAACUACGUG
rnacentral:rRNA from 1 species